UCUCCUACGGGAGGCAGCAGUGGGGAAUAUUGGACAAUGGGGGGAACCCUGAUCCAGCCAUGCCGCGUGUGUGAAGAAGGCCUUAUGGUUGUAAAGCACUUUAAGCGAGGAGGAGGCUACUGAGACUAAUACUCUUGGAUAGUGGACGUUACUCGCAGAAUAAGCACCGGCUAACUCUGUGCCAGCAGCCGCGGUAAUACAGAGGGUGCGAGCGUUAAUCGGAUUUACUGGGCGUAAAGCGUGCGUAGGCGGCUUUUUAAGUCGGAUGUGAAAUCCCCGAGCUUAACUUGGGAAUUGCAUUCGAUACUGGGAAGCUAGAGUAUGGGAGAGGAUGGUAGAAUUCCAGGUGUAGCGGUGAAAUGCGUAGAGAUCUGGAGGAAUACCGAUGGCGAAGGCAGCCAUCUGGCCUAAUACUGACGCUGAGGUACGAAAGCAUGGGGAGCAAACAGGAUUAGAUACCCUGGUAGUCCAUGCCGUAAACGAUGUCUACUAGCCGUUGGGGCCUUUGAGGCUUUAGUGGCGCAGCUAACGCGAUAAGUAGACCGCCUGGGGAGUACGGUCGCAAGACUAAAACUCAAAUGAAUUGACGGGGGCCCGCACAAGCGGUGGAGCAUGUGGA
rnacentral:rRNA from 1 species